ensembl:lncRNA
ACAUUCCUCCAGUCUGGUGGAGCAUGGACAGUGGAAAUUUCUGGAGGAUCAGUAUGUGGUUACUGGAAAAAGAAAUUCAGGAGUUUGUGGUGUUCAUAAUCGACCCCAAAAAGCUCAGAUGAAAGCUCAAGCCAAGGUUCCAGGUUCACAACCAGAAGUGACGUCCAUCCCAGAACCGCUGACUCCUCAAGCUGCAACAGAACUCCAUGUUUCAGAAACAGAAUCUCCAAAAAUGUACAUUCCAGAAGAAAGGAAAAGGCCAGGAACUUCAGCUCCAGAAGAAGUCAUAGCUCCAAAAGAAUGUAGAGCUCCAGAAGACAUUAGAGCUCCACAACAGACGGUAGCUCCAGAACUAAGAGAAGCAUCAACACUGGGAGCUCCAGAGAUGAUAGAAGUUGAAAUUCUAGGAGAUUUUGCAGUUACAGAGGUACCAUCACUACAAAUUUUAGACGUGAUUACACCACCAAAAAUGGAAGUAGUUCUAGAGAUAUCAGCAUCUCAGAAAAUUUCCACUUCAGAAGUGAUGAAAAAACCAGAAGUUUCAUUUUCAGAAAUGACCAUACUAGAAAGAAAGGAAGCACCAGAAAAUAUGACAACAGUUUCAGAAUUAACAACUCAAAAAGAAACUCUAGAAGUACCAUCCCCAGACGUUUCAGUUCCAGAAAUAGAAGCUCCAGUUAUGGAAGUCCCAAAAGUACAAUCAGUAGAAGCUCCAGAUGUGACACCACCAAAAAUGGAAGCAGUUCCAGAAGUGAUGGGAGCCCACGUAGUGACAGCAACUCUAGAUACUCUGGUAUCACCAGAAGUGAUAGCACCUCCACAAACGUCAAUUCCAGAAAUAGUAGAAGCUCCAGAUGUCACAGAAUCACCAAAGUUUACUGCUAGUCUGGAAAAAAUGGAAGCUCCUGAAAUUUUACCUCUGAAACUGACAGCAUGCUCAGAAUGGUCAGCUCCAGAAACGGUGGAAGCACCAACAGCUGUAAAUGAAGUAGAAGUAACAUCAAAUAAAGAAUUGGAGACUUCAGAAGAUACCAAAGUUCCUAAUGUGAUGAAACCCCAAAAAUUACCAUGCUCAGAAAUGAAAGAUCCAAAGGAUUUAGAUUGUGAUCUAGAUGUGACAGAACCAGAUGUGAUAUUAGCUCCAGAAAUGGAAGCACAGGAGACGACAGCAGAUGUUCCAGAAGUUUUGUCUGAAGUUCCAAUUAACUUUCCAUCAGAAGAACCUGCAGUUCAGGAGAACAUCAUCAGCACUGCAUGAACACAGCUGCUGUUCUGAUGAAACGGAGAAACACGAUGACAUCAUCAAUCAGUGCUGGCCAAUCACGCACAGGCUAUGUGUUAAUCCAGUCUUCACACUUCCCCCUGUCCACACAGAGUGCUGUUAUACUUUAUUACACUGAGGCUCCACCCACACCUGUACACAUCACAUUUUAACCCUAAUCACAGUUUUCUGUUUUCCCAUCCACAUGAAAAGGGUUUUCAAAAAUCUUCAUCCUCAUGAAAAUGCAGAAUUGAUUUGUCCACACCAGCGCAGUGAGAGUACGCUGUACAGUGUUACAUUAACCUCUGCAGGAAUGACGUUAGGAGUUGUGUGUUGAAUGUUAGAGGAGAAGAAAUGUAGAAAACACCAUGCUGAAAGCUGUAAAAGUUAAAACUAUAAAGUGAGGAUUCAGGUGUGUGAAGUGAUGAUGAGGUGGAACUGAUGUUUAAAUCUGCAGUGCUGAAUGUCUGCCUCUCUAUCGCCAUCUCUGUUUGAAACAUAAAAUUGCAAGUUACUUGCGGAGUUAUUUUUUUUGGUUUGUGCUUUGGCACCACUCCUCUGCGUGGAGGAAGCUGGUGGUUUGAGGUAUUCGUAUGGAUUGUCUGUGAUCACACAGCGGAUCUGUAACUGUACAUCCACAUAACAGUAAGAAGUAACAUAUCUGUUGCUUUUGUUAUGACCAAAUGAACAUGUUUUAAAUAAGGUAAAUGUUUUAAAUAAAUCACUCUACUCAGUCAAGUCAUUGCAAAUUAUUAUUAGUAAAAAAUUGAAUGUUGCCAAAUCAUCAUUGUGUAACUAGCCGUAAUUUGUGUGUAUUAACGUUAUCUUUAGAUUUCACGUUCUAGGCAGUCUAAUCUCUUUCAGUUUACUUGUUGCAUGUUUUAAUGAAAACGAUUAAUUUUAAGUGUACUACAUAAGGAUUUCAAGCAAAUUUAUGCUUUUGACUUCAAAAAGCAAUUAGCUUUUUGUCUGUUUAUUACCCUUUCCCCUUGAAAGACAAAACCGAUCUGAUUCAGCUCUGAUGCUUAACACUGGAGGUGACGGAGGAUUCGGUUUUCUUGGAGUAGAGGUGAAUUGCUGUCUCUCAUGUCUAGCAGAAAAUAAGUGCAGUUUAUUACACUGACCACAACAAAACAAACAAAACCCAACAUAGGAAACUCCAUACCCAGCUGAAUCAAGCAAACAAGUGUGCUAAUGUUAGCUAGCUACAUAUUGAGCCACUGAAAUGUCUGAUCUGUUCAGCAGAAAAAAAAGCAUCUCUGCAUCAGUCUUCAGUUCCUUCAGUUUCACCACCGCUCAAAACCAUGCUGAUAUUUAUUCUUGUUUUAGCACUGCUCUGUCACUUUCCCUUUAUAAUUGCAGGCUCUCCGCAGUUCCAGGUUUCUUCAUUUAGACAACAGCUGAUUCCCCAGAUGUUAACCAUGAUUGUGUUUAGCAAGUGUGUGUGUGUGAGAUUUUGUGUUGAAAAUGACGGUUUGUGUUUGUACUAAUCACAGGACUGGGAUCUGCUGCUUGAACCCAGGUUUUAUAUCAUAUAAUAUUAUAUAAACAGAACAGACUUUCAGGAAGAGGUGAGACGUACAGUUCUGCAUGUAGUCUGAGAUUCAAGAUUUUAAUCAGAUCCCAAGUAACUAGUAGCUUUCUACUCGAGUCGUCUUCUCAUCGGACUCGUUAUUACUCUUACACACUUCAUUAUUUACAUUAUUAAUAUUAUUAACAUUAUUAACAUUAUUAACAUUAUUAAUAUUAUUACUGUUACGCUUACUUCAGUAAUCAUUUUUAUAACUGGUUUUACUUGUACUUGAAUAAAAAUUUUGGCUACUCUACCCACUUCUGCUUAACAUUCAGAAUGUCAGUGUUCUAACUUAAACUGAUAAAAACAGAUUAAAGUAUCUGUACUGUGUGUGUAUGUGUGUGUGUGUGUGUGUGAGAGAGAGAGAGAG